GACGACCGCUGGCGGCGUGCCUAAUACAUGCAAGUAGGACGCAGUUGCGAACGGGUGAGUAACGCGUAGGUAACUACCUAUUAGAGGGGGAUAACUAUUGGAAACGAUAGCUAAUACCGCAUACUAGUAGAUGGACCUGCGUUGUAUUAGCUAGUAGGUAGGGUAAUGGCCUACCUAGGCAACGAUACAUAGCCGACCUGGGAGGGUGGUCGGCCACAACGGGACUGAGACAAGGCCCCGACUCCUACAGGAGGCAACAGUAGGGAAUCUUCGGGAAUGGGGGGAACCCUGACCAGGCAACGCCGCGUGAGUGAAGAAGGUUUUCGGAUCGUAAAGCUCUGUUGUUAAGGAAGCGGUACUUAACCAGAAAGGGACGGCUAACUACGUGCCAGCAGCCGCGGUAAUUC
rnacentral:rRNA from 1 species